rnacentral:rRNA from 1 species
CGUUGGCCCAAUUGAUUGAUGGUGCUUGCACCUGAUUGAUUUUGGUCGCCAACGAGUGGCGGACGGGUGAGUAACACGUAGGUAACCUGCCCAGAAGCGGGGGACAACAUUUGGAAACAGAUGCUAAUACCGCAUAACAGCGUUGUUCGCAUGAACAACGCUUAAAAGAUGGCUUCUCGCUAUCACUUCUGGAUGGACCUGCGGUGCAUUAGCUUGUUGGUGGGGUAACGGCCUACCAAGGCGAUGAUGCAUAGCCGAGUUGAGAGACUGAUCGGCCACAAUGGGACUGAGACACGGCCCAUACUCCUACGGGAGGCAGCAGUAGGGAAUCUUCCACAAUGGGCGCAAGCCUGAUGGAGCAACACCGCGUGAGUGAAGAAGGGUUUCGGCUCGUAAAGCUCUGUUGUUAAAGAAGAACACGUAUGAGAGUAACUGUUCAUACGUUGACGGUAUUUAACCAGAAAGUCACGGCUAACUACGUGCCAGCAGCCGCGGUAAUACGUAGGUGGCAAGCGUUAUCCGGAUUUAUUGGGCGUAAAGAGAGUGCAGGCGGUUUUCUAAGUCUGAUGUGAAAGCCUUCGGCUUAACCGGAGAAGUGCAUCGGAAACUGGAUAACUUGAGUGCAGAAGAGGGUAGUGGAACUCCAUGUGUAGCGGUGGAAUGCGUAGAUAUAUGGAAGAACACCAGUGGCGAAGGCGGCUACCUGGUCUGCAACUGACGCUGAGACUCGAAAGCAUGGGUAGCGAACAGGAUUAGAUACCCUGGUAGUCCAUGCCGUAAACGAUGAGUGCUAGGUGUUGGAGGGUUUCCGCCCUUCAGUGCCGGAGCUAACGCAUUAAGCACUCCGCCUGGGGAGUACGACCGCAAGGUUGAAACUCAAAGGAAUUGACGGGGGCCCGCACAAGCGGUGGAGCAUGUGGUUUAAUUCGAAGCUACGCGAAGAACCUUACCAGGUCUUGACAUCUUGCGCCAACCCUAGAGAUAGGGCGUUUCCUUCGGGAACGCAAUGACAGGUGGUGCAUGGUCGUCGUCAGCUCGUGUCGUGAGAUGUUGGGUUAAGUCCCGCAACGAGCGCAACCCUUGUUACUAGUUGCCAGCAUUAAGUUGGGCACUCUAGUGAGACUGCCGGUGACAAACCGGAGGAAGGUGGGGACGACGUCAGAUCAUCAUGCCCCUUAUGACCUGGGCUACACACGUGCUACAAUGGACGGUACAACGAGUCGCGAACUCGCGAGGGCAAGCAAAUCUCUUAAAACCGUUCUCAGUUCGGACUGCAGGCUGCAACUCGCCUGCACGAAGUCGGAAUCGCUAGUAAUCGCGGAUCAGCAUGCCGCGGUGAAUACGUUCCCGGGCCUUGUACACACCGCCCGUCACACCAUGAGAGUUUGUAACACCCAAAGUCGGGGGGUAACCUUUUAGG